UUGACCUCGAAUCAGGUAAGAAUACCCGCUGAAC
rnacentral:rRNA from 1 species